GGUUAAGCGACUAAGCGUACACGGUGGAUGCCCUGGCAGUCAGAGGCGAUGAAGGACGUGCUAAUCUGCGAUAAGCGUCGGUAAGGUGAUAUGAACCGUUAUAACCGGCGAUUUCCGAAUGGGGAAACCCAGUGUGUUUCGACACACUAUCAUUAACUGAAUCCAUAGGUUAAUGAGGCGAACCGGGGGAACUGAAACAUCUAAGUACCCCGAGGAAAAGAAAUCAACCGAGAUUCCCCCAGUAGCGGCGAGCGAACGGGGAGCAGCCCAGAGCCUGAAUCAGUGUGUGUGUUAGUGGAAGCGUCUGGAAAGGCGCGCGAUACAGGGUGACAGCCCCGUACACAAAAAUGCACAUGCUGUGAGCUCGAUGAGUAGGGCGGGACACGUGGUAUCCUGUCUGAAUAUGGGGGGACCAUCCUCCAAGGCUAAAUACUCCUGACUGACCGAUAGUGAACCAGUACCGUGAGGGAAAGGCGAAAAGAACCCCGGCGAGGGGAGUGAAAAAGAACCUGAAACCGUGUACGUACAAGCAGUGGGAGCACGCUUAGGCGUGUGACUGCGUACCUUUUGUAUAAUGGGUCAGCGACUUAUAUUCUGUAGCAAGGUUAACCGAAUAGGGGAGCCGAAGGGAAACCGAGUCUUAACUGGGCGUUAAGUUGCAGGGUAUAGACCCGAAACCCGGUGAUCUAGCCAUGGGCAGGUUGAAGGUUGGGUAACACUAACUGGAGGACCGAACCGACUAAUGUUGAAAAAUUAGCGGAUGACUUGUGGCUGGGGGUGAAAGGCCAAUCAAACCGGGAGAUAGCUGGUUCUCCCCGAAAGCUAUUUAGGUAGCGCCUCGUGAAUUCAUCUCCGGGGGUAGAGCACUGUUUCGGCAAGGGGGUCAUCCCGACUUACCAACCCGAUGCAAACUGCGAAUACCGGAGAAUGUUAUCACGGGAGACACACGGCGGGUGCUAACGUCCGUCGUGAAGAGGGAAACAACCCAGACCGCCAGCUAAGGUCCCAAAGUCAUGGUUAAGUGGGAAACGAUGUGGGAAGGCCCAGACAGCCAGGAUGUUGGCUUAGAAGCAGCCAUCAUUUAAAGAAAGCGUAAUAGCUCACUGGUCGAGUCGGCCUGCGCGGAAGAUGUAACGGGGCUAAACCAUGCACCGAAGCUGCGGCAGCGACGCUUAUGCGUUGUUGGGUAGGGGAGCGUUCUGUAAGCCUGCGAAGGUGUGCUGUGAGGCAUGCUGGAGGUAUCAGAAGUGCGAAUGCUGACAUAAGUAACGAUAAAGCGGGUGAAAAGCCCGCUCGCCGGAAGACCAAGGGUUCCUGUCCAACGUUAAUCGGGGCAGGGUGAGUCGACCCCUAAGGCGAGGCCGAAAGGCGUAGUCGAUGGGAAACAGGUUAAUAUUCCUGUACUUGGUGUUACUGCGAAGGGGGGACGGAGAAGGCUAUGUUGGCCGGGCGACGGUUGUCCCGGUUUAAGCGUGUAGGCUGGUUUUCCAGGCAAAUCCGGAAAAUCAAGGCUGAGGCGUGAUGACGAGGCACUACGGUGCUGAAGCAACAAAUGCCCUGCUUCCAGGAAAAGCCUCUAAGCAUCAGGUAACAUCAAAUCGUACCCCAAACCGACACCGGUGGUCAGGUAGAGAAUACCAAGGCGCUUGAGAGAACUCGGGUGAAGGAACUAGGCAAAAUGGUGCCGUAACUUCGGGAGAAGGCACGCUGAUAUGUAGGUGAGGUCCCUCGCGGAUGGAGCUGAAAUCAGUCGAAGAUACCAGCUGGCUGCAACUGUUUAUUAAAAACACAGCACUGUGCAAACACGAAAGUGGACGUAUACGGUGUGACGCCUGCCCGGUGCCGGAAGGUUAAUUGAUGGGGUUAGCGCAAGCGAAGCUCUUGAUCGAAGCCCCGGUAAACGGCGGCCGUAACCAUAACGGUCCUAAGGUAGCGAAAUUCCUUGUCGGGUAAGUUCCGACCUGCACGAAUGGCGUAAUGAUGGCCAGGCUGUCUCCACCCGAGACUCAGUGAAAUUGAACUCGCUGUGUAGAUGCAGUGUACCCGCGGCAAGACGGAAAGACCCCGUGAACCUUUACUAUAGCUUGACACUGAACAUUGAGCCUUGAUGUGUAGGAUAGGUGGGAGGCUUUGAAGUGUGGACGCCAGUCUGCAUGGAGCCGACCUUGAAAUACCACCCUUUAAUGUUUGAUGUUCUAACGUUGACCCGUAAUCCGGGUUGCGGACAGUGUCUGGUGGGUAGUUUGACUGUGGCGGUCUCCUCCUAAAGAGUAACGGAGGAGCACGAAGGUUGGCUAAUCCUGGUCGGACAUCAGGAGGUUAGUGCAAUGGCAUAAGCCAGCUUGACUGCGAGCGUGACGGCGCGAGCAGGUGCGAAAGCAGGUCAUAGUGAUCCGGUGGUUCUGAAUGGAAGGGCCAUCGCUCAACGGAUAAAAGGUACUCCGGGGAUAACAGGCUGAUACCGCCCAAGAGUUCAUAUCGACGGCGGUGUUUGGCACCUCGAUGUCGGCUCAUCACAUCCUGGGGCUGAAGUAGGUCCCAAGGGUAUGGCUGUUCGCCAUUUAAAGUGGUACGCGAGCUGGGUUUAGAACGUCGUGAGACAGUUCGGUCCCUAUCUGCCGUGGGCGCUGGAGAACUGAGGGGGGCUGCUCCUAGUACGAGAGGACCGGAGUGGACGCAUCACUGGUGUUCGGGUUGUCAUGCCAAUGGCACUGCCCGGUAGCUAAAUGCGGAAGAGAUAAGUGCUGAAAGCAUCUAAGCACGAAACUUGCCCCGAGAUGAGUUCUCCCUGACCCUUUAAGGGUCCUGAAGGAACGUUGAAGACGACGACGUUGAUAGGCCGGGUGUGUAAGCGCAGCGAUGCGUUGAGCUAACCGGUACUAAUGAACCGUGAGGCUUAACCUU
rnacentral:rRNA from 1 species